AACGAACGCUGGCGGCAGGCUUAACACAUGCAAGUCGAGCGCCCCGCAAGGGGAGCGGCAGACGGGUGAGUAACGCGUGGGAAUCUACCCAUCUCUACGGAAUAACGCAUGGAAACGUGUGCUAAUACCGUAUACGUCCUUCGGUAGAAAGAUUUAUCGGAGAUGGAUGAGCCCGCGUUGGAUUAGCUAGUUGGUGGGGUAAAGGCCUACCAAGGCGACGAUCCAUAGCUGGUCUGAGAGGAUGAUCAGCCACACUGGGACGGAGACACGGCCCAGACUCCUACGGGAGGCAGCAGUGGGGAAUAUUGGACAAUGGGCGCAAGCCUGAUCCAGCCAUGCCGCGUGAGUGAUGAAGGCCCUAGGGUUGUAAAGCUCUUUCACCGGUGAAGAUAAUGACGGUAACCGGAGAAGAAGCCCCGGCUAACUUCGUGCCAGCAGCCGCCGUAAGAC
rnacentral:rRNA from 1 species